rnacentral:rRNA from 1 species
GGCGUGCUUAACACAUGCAAGUCGAACGGUGAAGCAGAGCUUGCUCUGUGGAUCAGUGGCGAACGGGUGAGUAACACGUGAGCAAUCUGCCCCUGACUCUGGGAUAAGCGCUGGAAACGGCGUCUAAUACCGGAUACGAGCUGCGAAGGCAUCUUCAGCAGCUGGAAAGAAUUUCGGUCAGGGAUGAGCUCGCGGCCUAUCAGCUUGUUGGUGAGGUAACGGCUCACCAAGCCGUCGACGGGUAGCCGGCCUGAGAGGGUGACCGGCCACACUGGGACUGAGACACGGCCCAGACUCCUACGGGAGGCAGCAGUGGGGAAUAUUGCACAAUGGGCGAAAGCCUGAUGCAGCAACGCCGCGUGAGGGACGACGGCCUUCGGGUUGUAAACCUCUUUUAGCAGGAAAGAAGCGAAAGUGACGGUACCUGCAGAAAAAGCGCCGGCUAACUACGUGCCAGCAGCCGCGGUAAUACGUAGGGCGCAAGCGUUAUCCGGAAUUAUUGGGCGUAAAGAGCUCGUAGGCGGUCUGUCGCGUCUGCUGUGAAAACCCGAGGCUCAACCUCGGGCCUGCAGUGGGUACGGGCAGACUAGAGUGCGGUAGGGGAGAUUGGAAUUCCUGGUGUAGCGGUGGAAUGCGCAGAUAUCAGGAGGAACACCGAUGGCGAAGGCAGAUCUCUGGGCCGUAACUGACGCUGAGGAGCGAAAGGGUGGGGAGCAAACAGGCUUAGAUACCCUGGUAGUCCACCCCGUAAACGUUGGGAACUAGUUGUGGGGUCCAUUCCACGGAUUCCGUGACGCAGCUAACGCAUUAAGUUCCCCGCCUGGGGAGUACGGCCGCAAGGCUAAAACUCAAAGGAAUUGACGGGGACCCGCACAAGCGGCGGAGCAUGCGGAUUAAUUCGAUGCAACGCGAAGAACCUUACCAAGGCUUGACAUAUACGAGAACGGGCCAGAAAUGGUCAAC